rnacentral:siRNA from 1 species
UCUUGGCGCUUCUAUCAAAGGU